UAUACAAAUGAUUGGAAACACUCACUCCGGUCCAGAAGAUCCUAAACUCUAGCUGACAGCUGGCUGGGUUGAGAGAGAGACUUUUAUACUAUUAUGUCAAAUCUUCAGGUCUUGGAUGUUAUCACAGAGAAGAUCUACAUCAGUGGUCAGCCUUCCUGUCUCCUCAUUCAUUCGAUGUCCAGGUGAUCUUCAAUAAGGAAAGGAAGCAAAAGUUGAGACUAGGUCAAUAACAGAGAAUCAUUGGGAUAGAUAAAAUUAACUUGCAUCCCAUCCAUCUGUGUUUGCUGGCCAAUGAGAAUUUUUGCAGCAUCAUUUGGUACAUACUCAGUAGCUGGCUUAAUUUAGAUACAUUCUGAGGUAUGCAGUUGAAUGCUAAGGACCCAAUACUGUUCCUAUUGAGUGAGUUCUGCUAUUCAAAAUCAGUCAGUAUGGGGAUCAAGCAAACACUCACACUUUUGUAUCUUUGUUUCUUAUGCACUUAAAUCACUUCUAAACCAAUAUCUAUAACAAAAGAUCUUGUAAAUGA